GACAGAGGAUGCAAGCGUUAUCCGGAAUGAUUGGGCGUAAAGCGUCUGUAGGUGGCUUUUUAAGUCCGCCGUCAAAUCCCAGGGCUCAACCCUGGACAGGCGGUGGAAACUACCAAGCUGGAGUACGGUAGGGGCAGAGGGAAUUUCCGGUGGAGCGGUGAAAUGCGUAGAGAUCGGAAAGAACACCAACGGCGAAGGCAGCCCCCUGGGUCAAGAUUGACGCUCAUGCACGAAAGCGUGGGGAGCAAACAGG
rnacentral:rRNA from 1 species